GUUGGGGUCCUGGCAGGGAGCGGGCCGGGGCUGGCCUGGCCGAGCGGGUCCUGGAGCCCGAGCCUUUGUUUCUCUCUGGGCUGGGUUCACUAGCGGCGGGUAGUUUUCCACUUGUUGCUAUUUUAUAAAUGAGAAGUUUGAUGAACAUCCUUAUACAUACGUAUUUGCACACAUCCUUGAGAGGUUCCUGGAAAUAAGAUUGACGGAUAAAAAGCAGUGCUUAUUGCCGGGUGUGAUGGCUCACACCUGUAAUCACAGCACUUUGGGAGGCCUAGGCGAAUGGAUCACCUGAGGUCAGGAGUUCAAGACCAGCCUGGCCAAGGAAGGAUCGAGAUCGAGACCGGGAUCGUGAAGAUCGGUCUAAAGAUCGAGACCGAGAACGUGAUAGAGGAGAUAGAGAGCGAGAGAGGGAGAAAGAAAAGGAGAAGGAGUUGCGAGCUUCAACAAAUGCUAUGCUUAUCAGUGCUGGAUUACCACCUUUGAAAGCUUCCCAUUCAGCUCACUCAACCCACUCAGCACAUUCAACGCAUUC
rnacentral:lncRNA from 10 species